CAAGGAAUUUUCCCCAAUGGGCGCAAGCCUGAGGGAGCAACGUCGCGUGCCGGACGAAGGCCUUCGGGUUGUAAACGGCUUUUGGGGGGGAAGAUACUGACGGUACCCCCCGAAUAAGCCCCGGCUAACUCCGUGCCAGCAGCCGCGGUAAGACGGAGGGGGCAAGCGUUGUCCGGAAUCACUGGGCGUAAAGCGCGUGUAGGUGGUCCGGUGCGUCGGUGCUGAAAGCGCCAGGCUUAACCUGGCGAGGCGUGCCGAUACGACCGAACUUGAGGCAGGGAGAGGGCAGCGGAAUUCCGGGUGUAGUGGUGAAAUGCGUAGAGAUCCGGAGGAACGCCAGAGACGAAGGUGGCUGCCUGGCCCUGACCUGACACUGAGACGCGAUAGCGUGGGGAGCAAA
rnacentral:rRNA from 1 species